GAUAAACAAAAAAAAUUGGAUAACAAAGGGUUUUGAACUCGGUAGUCAUGUUGUGUGAUUUUUCUUUCUCUUUUUUUCUGUGCAUCACAUAUACUCUGGGGGUUAAUUUCACUUCUCUUGAUUCUUUUUCUACUCAACUUUUCCGAGCAUUUUAUAUUUGUUAAAAUCUACGGUCUCGGCAAGUGCAUUUUUCUCUUUUGUUUUUCUUUUCUUUUUUUCUUCUUUUUUAUUUAUUUUUAUUUUUAAAGAAAAUACAUACUAUUUUUCUUUCAAGAUUUCCACCCCAAACUUAGUUUUAUUGCACAUCUUGCAAUUCACACAAUCAUACCGAGUUAUGACAUAAAAGGAAAUGGAUGAUUAAAAGUUAACAGGGGGUUCAUGAUGAAUAAUGCUUAAACN
rnacentral:lncRNA from 1 species